GGUGAGGUAGCUCAGCUGGUUAGAGCACGGGAAUCAUAACCCGAGGUCGAGGGUUCGAUUCCCCUCCUCACCACCA
rnacentral:tRNA from 1 species